rnacentral:rRNA from 1 species
GACAGAGGAUGCAAGCGUUAUCCGGAAUGAUUGGGCGUAAAGCGUCUGUAGGUGGCUUUUUAAGUCUGCCGUCAAAUCCCAGGGCUUAACCCUGGACAGGCGGUGGAAACUACCAAGCUGGAGUACGGUAGGGGCAGAGGGAAUUUCCGGUGGAGCGGUGAAAUGCGUAGAGAUUGGAAAGAACACCGAUGGCGAAGGCACUUUACUGGGCUAUUACUAACACUCAGAGACGAAAGCUAGGGUAGCAAAUGGG